CUGUAGUAGCAGUAGCAGUGGCAAAAGUGGUGCUGGUGGUGGGGAGAUAGUAGUAGUUCUUGUUGUAGCUGUUGUUGUAGUAGUAGUUUAUAAUUAGUUUCUUCAAUGUCUAUCUCUUAUGUAAGUUCAUAAGCACGACAUACGCUCUUACGUGCGUACGUGCGCACUUAAGCACGCAUGUAUGUAUGUAUUGUGUAUGCAUUUAUGUAUGUGUAUGCAUAUAUGUAUGUGACACUCGUUUAGCAUAUCAUUCAGUUGUAGUAGUUGUCAUGAUUGUGUCCAUAACAAGGAAGACAAAGUAUCUCAUCAAUAAGAUCAUAACGCCAUAUUGGAAAAAAAAGAUACUUAAAACAGAAACAAAUCACACGUUAACACUGUACCAUAUGUUCUUACUUGUUUACAACUUAUAAAAGUACGACGAUAGUUCGCUUAUUGCUCCUGAUACAUCUCACUCACUAUCACUUUAUAUAAGAAAACAUUUAAACCUGUACUGUAACAUUUACAAGAAUUUACUAAUUGUUGUUUAAGAGUGAUAUUUCGAAGAAUGUGGACACGAUCGUCACGAGUGAGUCCAAACAGAAAGUUUUCAAAUAACGCACAACAAAUGCAAAAGCAAUCUGAGCAACAACGAAUAUAAUUCAAAUACGAGGAAGAAUAUACGAAUAGAAAUAAGAAUGAAUAUGAAUUUUUUGUAUACAUAUUUGUGUCAACGAAGUCGGUGAAAAUGUAAAAACGCCAUGUUUUUUUUUUAAAGUUUCUGAAAAUAAUUAUUUGCGAGGAAAAUUUAAACAUUAAAAGAAAACGAAGAUAACAAGAAUAAUGACAACGACGAUGAAAGCGACGACAAGUACAAGGACAAACGUUACCAACAAUAACAAUUGCAACAAUAAAAAGGGGAAAAUUGACAACAAAAACGACUUUGAAAUUACGAAUAAAACGACAACAUUAAAAAAUACCAACGACAACGAGAGAAAAGAAAAUAUAAUACUGAUACGACGAAAGAAUUUUCAAGAGAAAGGUGUCCAUCGUCUUACCGCCCCAGAAAAUAUAAAUAAAUGCGGAAGGAAAGAAAAAUUUGAGGGGACUGGAUAUGUACAGAGUAACACAAAAAAAUAACGUAAACUGAUAACGAAAUGAUGUAGAAAACGAAAGGAAAAUGACAAGUAUUAAUAUUAUAAUACAAUAUAGAGGAAAUUAAAUUAAAACAAAAACAAUGAAGGGGAACACCAGCCCGGGAAAGGAAUUAAUAUUGAAAAAAAAUAUAUAUAUAUUUUUGGGAGCGACGUUUUACAGUUAUAAUAUACGUAUAUAUAUAUAUAUAAGUAUGUUCUGAAAAAUAUUGGUACGAAACCACGAAGUGUUGAAAAUCCCAGGAAGCUCGCAUUGAUAUGUUCACGAACACCUUGUUUCCUGGUUUCUCUGCACUCUCCGCAGCAUGCUUGAUGAGAAGAGGCCCUGUAAGGGAGAUCCAUUAUGAUUCUCUCACAGUGAAGCAUAAUCGUUUCUGGGAGUACGAGAAGGAAAGUAAAAGAGUCGCAACUGGACAAUGUGGUGCUGGACUACCCCAUUAGAAGCAUAGAAGUAUGUCGUUUGCCAUAACAUAUCAUACAUAUCUAUCGCCUAGUGGAUGAAAUAGAUUUCAUUUCCGUAAAACAACAAACUGACCAGUCAACGAGCUGACCAAUCAAGGAAGGACACUACGUAGUCGUUCAACCAGCUAGAAAUAGCAAGCGCUCCUAUCUCAAAUCACAAAUCCGUCUUAAAUGAAGGAAGAACUGAAUAUUAUAAUCGCUGAUGCACAGAAACAAGAUCGGAGUAGAUCACACUUGGAAUGAUAUUGGCUGUUAACGAAUAACAAGCAAGUGCUCUAUAUAAUUUAUACUAAACUUGAAACUUGUAGGGUAUCUUCAUAGCGAUGUUCAAGUUGUCUAAGUGUAAUUCUUCUUGCCAUUCAGAAUUAUUCCCUCUCCUUCCUCUCUCUCUCUCUCUCUCUCUCUCCUUCACUUUCUCUCUCUCUCUAAACUAACAGAGAUUAAACAUAAAUUAAUGGAUAAAUCUCCAAAGGUAAGUCAAAGAAUGAACUCAUUUUAUUAUACUAAGAGUAUAGCACACAUGCGUUUACUUCUAUAAAUACAAUAUGCAUACAAAUAUACAAUAAGUAUACAACGCAG